rnacentral:rRNA from 1 species
AGCGAACGCUGGCGGUAGGCUUAACACAUGCAAGUCGAACGGCAGCACAGUACUUGCUUGCUCUUACGGGUGGCCAGUCGCGUACGUGUGAGGAAUAUAUCCUACUCUACUUUUUCGUGUGGGUUAACGUAGCUAAACUUACUCCCAUAUCGCAUCCCACCUACCAUGGAAAGGGGUGGAUCUUCUGACCUUGCGCGAAUGAAUGCGCCGAUGUCGGAUUAGCUAGUUGGCGGGUUAAUGGCCCACGAAGUCGCCGAUCCGUAGCUGGUCUGAGAGGAGGGUCGGCCACACUGGAGCUGAGACACGGACCAGGCGACUACGGGAGGCAGCAGUGGGGAAUGGUGGACAAUGGGCGCGAGCCUGAUCCAGCCAUACCGCGUGGGUGAAGAAAGCCCUCGGGUUGUAAAGCCCUUUUGUUGGGAGAGAAACGCAGCAGGUUAAUACGCCGCUGUACUGACGGUACCCAAAGAAUAAGCACCGGCUAACUUCGU